rnacentral:lncRNA from 1 species
CUCUCGGGGCCCUGUGAGGAUGAAGGAAGUACCCCAUGCAAACGUGAUGUAAGUUCUAAUUCUUCAUGCACCUGUAUCUUCUCUCUCCAGGGAGGCUGAAUUUUCCUAAGAGUACGAAUCAAGCGGCUCCUCUACCUGUAAAACGGGGAAUUCGCCUGGUGUGCAUUGGGAUCUAAAGGGAUCUCUGGGAUGUUGUGGCUGGAGAGAGACACAUGUGGAUGGUGUUGGACACUGGAUUUGUCCAUCAGAGCUCAAGGAGUCAGAAGUCACUGUGGAAGGACCAUGGGGGAUAAUUUAAGGAGCUCCAAGACCCCAUCUCACGACCGGGAUCCCAGAGCUGUCUGGGACCUCCCUGGCCCUAUUGUGGUAAAGCGAAACUCACUGCGGAAUAGGAGGAGCUCGGGAACUGAGAGCCCGGCCUCUCUUCUCCAAGUGAGUCAGUUAACAAGUGGAAAAGAGAAACCCCUUCACCACUGAAUUUUUAACCGCACCAGAAACUGCCCAUCUGUUUGGUCCAACGCGGGAGGGGCAAUUUGGUUACUCUGUCUACAGGCUUGGGGCAAGUAGGAACAGAGACGAGGUUGGAAGCAUUGUUAACGUGUGCGUUUUCUUCAGUCAUUAAAGGAGAGCGGCAAACUUGGGACGUUUGAAGGGAACCGUCAUCCACUUCACAAGCAGUCGUUUGGUGCUGUGACUAAGACGUGGAAGGACUUGGACGAGGCAUCGGGGCCACCGGAGUGUCACACGGUCGGUCCCUUUUGUCGUGGAGCUUACUUUUAGGAGAAGAGACAGGGCAGAGGAAGUGGGGGCAUGGGACAACGCGCGCUGAGACCGCGUGCUGCGUCAGGCUGUGUCUGUGUUUCUCAUGCACGCGGAGCCCCUAAUAGACAGCAGGCAGGGUGCGCCCAGAAUCGAGGGGCCGGGCAGGCACUGAGUCCGAAUUCCCAGGAAGGCGGGCGAGCGAGUGAGCUCCGUGGGGCAGAGGCAGUGAGAGAGGACAUCUGCGGGAGUGGCCUUGGACGUGGCUCCCACAGAGCGGUGGCCUCCAGGCCAGCAUCGCUGAAAGAAUAACCCAUCUGCCCCAUGUCCCUAGCACACUUCUGCCUCUGCCUCCUCCCCUUCCCUCACCUCUUCUUCCCCUGGCUGGGGAGCACUCAGGAAUGACUCUCUGAGCCCUGGUGGUGGGGGUGGGGGGCACCCUACCUGGCCGAUGUCUUACAAUCUCCAGCAACCACACACCAAACAGAGUCUCUUGGCUGGAAAGCACGGCGGUCCCUUGGAACCUCUUCUUGGAAAAAGCAAACGCUCGCUCAGUGUUUGAGCCUCCUGGCUGGUUCCUUUGGAAGGGGGGGUGCGGGAGCCGCUGCCCAGGGGGACGGAGGGGUGAAGUGGAAAAACAUGGACUGGUUUCACAGCAGAGCAUAGGGAGGCUGGGAACUGUUCUGCUCUGUGAACAAAGUCAGGCUAAAGGCGGCAG